CCUACGGGAGGCAGCAGUAGGGAAUAUUGCUCAAUGGGGGAAACCCUGAAGCAGCAACGCCGCGUGGAGGAUGAAGGUUUUCGGAUUGUAAACUCCUUUUGUUAGAGAAGAUAAUGACGGUAUCUAACGAAUAAGCACCGGCUAACUCCGUGCCAGCAGCCGCGGUAAUACGGAGGGUGCAAGCGUUACUCGGAAUCACUGGGCGUAAAGCGCGCGUAGGCGGGAUAGCAAGCCAGAUGUGAAAUCCUAUGGCUUAACCAUAGAACUGCAUUUGAAACUGUUAUUCUAGAGUAUGGGAGAGGUAGGUGGAAUUCUUGGUGUAGGGGUAAAAUCCGUAGAGAUCAAGAGGAAUACUCAUUGCGAAGGCGACCUGCUAGAACAUAACUGACGCUGAUGCGCGAAAGCGUGGGGAGCAAACAGGAUUAGAUACCCCGGUAGUC
rnacentral:rRNA from 1 species